rnacentral:rRNA from 1 species
GGACUACCGGGGUAUCUAAUCCUGUUUGCUCCCCACGCUUUCGUGUCUCAGCGUCAGUAUUCGUCCAGUUGGCCGCCUUCGCCACCGGUGUUCCUCUCGAUAUCUACGAAUUUCACCUCUACACCGAGAAUUCCACCAACCUCUCCGAUACUCAAGCCAUGCAGUUUCGGGUGCACUUCCCAGGUUAAGCCUGGGGCUUUCACAUCCGACUUGCGUGGCCGCCUACACACGCUUUACGCCCAGUAAUUCCGAACAACGUUUGCACCCUCUGUCUUACCGCGGCUGCUGGCAC